CGUACAUCCAGAGAACUUAGCAGAGAUGCUUUGGUGCCUUCGGGAACUCUGAGACAGGUGCUGCAUGGCUGUCGUCAGCUCGUGUUGUGAAAUGUUGGGUUAAGUCCCGNAACGAGCGCAACCCUUUAUCCCUUUGUUGCCAGCGGUUCGGCCGGGAACUCAAAGGAGACUGCCGGUGAUAAACCGGAGGAAGGUGGGGAUGACGUCAAGUCAUCAUGGCCCUUACGGCCAGGGCUACACACGUGCUACAAUGGCGCAUACAAAGAGAAGCGACCUCGCGAGAGCAAGCGGACCUCAUAAAGUGCGUCGUAGUCCGGAUUGGAGUCUGCAACUCGACUCCAUGAAGUCGGAAUCGCUAGUAAUCGUAGAUCAGAAUGCUACGGUGAAUACGUUCCCGGGCCUUGUACACACCGCCCGUCACACCAUGGGAGUGGGUUGCAAAAGAAGUAGGUAGCUUAACCUUCGGGAGGGCGCUUACCACUUUGUGAUUCAUGACUGGGGUGAAGUCGUAACAAGGUAAGCGUAGCGAG
rnacentral:rRNA from 1 species